GUAGUGUGAAAAUGAUGGAUGGAAGAAGAAUGGUACCGGUUGAAAAGCACGGUGGUAAAGAUUCGAUUCGCGCGGGACGGAGAGUGUCGAUCAGACAAUGACCUCGGCAACAUGUUUCUAAAGGAGUCGACCAGCAGGAGACAAUGGAUAUAUAAUAUCACCUAUAAUUAGCCUCGUUAAAGCUGUCUCUAAUAAUAAGCAAAGCUAGCCAGAUGGCAAAAUCGCGAACGAUAAUCUGCCGGUGUGCUUAACGGUUAUUAAUAAAAUGCGCGAUUUAUCUCGCAGCCACAAACACGUUUAAUGCUUAUCAAUACACCAUAUGUACAACUCGGCAACACAUUACUGCACACAAUCCGCGGAGAAACUGCUUGUGCCAGAUAAUGCCUUUUAUGACGAUGCUCGUUGUGUCUGGAGGCUGCGCGGCAAACGGAAUUCCCUUAUCAAGACAUGUUAUCCCUUUGCGUACGGCACAUGGAAUUAACCUCGGUGUCUCGUUCAGAGGAUACGCAAAUUUGCUUUCAAAAAUUUAUUUCACUGUUUAUCAAUCACAGAUUUGCUAAUCUAAAACUAACUGAGACAUCAAUACGUUUAUCCAAGAAAUAUCAAACUUUCAUCAGGGGCCGACGAAUUCUUAAAGGAGAAAGAAGGUGAAAUCAUCAUGCUCGAGCACUGAAAAAGAGAAUGCCUAUUUAACGCUGGUCGAUUGAUACAAUAAUAACGAGACACGAUGCUCUGCAAACUAUGCCGCAUAAAAUCAGGCAUCUAUUAAUAUCAGCGUGCGACACUUUGGUACGCGAAGAAGAGUAUUGUUCUCGUAAUAAGAAGCUCGAAGGCGGAUUUACAUAAAAUUCUACAAUGAAUCUGACGAUCGAACACACGCGAGAGAGCCGGAGGACUCGCGGUUGCCGCGGCAGAUAAAUAUUAUUGCAACUCUCGAGCGCUCGAACCACUUGAUAGUAUAAAUAUAUCUCAUCGAAGACGAGGGCAAACACGCGAAUGCGUGAACGUUGCAUUGUUGAAUACGUUGAACAAACAAGAUCCGACCCUUUUUGGCCGUGAUAAGUGACAAAUCUGCAUAAUUUCAUUAACCCACGAUAGGUGGUGCUCGUUCAUUUGGUAUGUAAUUCAACGUGAGCCUUGCCAAACGGAAUCUCGCUUUCGAUUCUAGCGUAUGAUCGCCGCCCGAGUGUAACAAUUAUUUCACGGGACAAUUGCCGACGCUAUUCCGAGUACUUAAUUAGACUACGCGGCCUGUUGUUGCUCGAUGACACAUCUCUAUUGGGUUUCUCUGCACGGAUUCUCGUGUAUUUCUGUUUGUCAAAUGACUAAUAUGCGAACGCCAGUAACAAUGAAACGCGUAUGAUGGAGCAAUGAAUGGUCGCGUGAUUUUUUUCCUCUCGGAUAUUAAGCGUUAAGUUAAGAGAAAGAAAAAAACAUUUCGAUAUUAUAGAUUUCAUUUGAAAAAUGAGAGGAGUUGAAUGCGUAUAAUUUCAUUUUCGAUUUUGGAAAUCCAGUGAGUUACAGGUACAGGCACACUUAAGAGAUUCGUAUCUUUAAGAUUGAUAUUUUUCAUAGAUUAAUAUUCUUACCUAAUCUCUAGUUUUAAAUAACUGAAAUAAUCUCAAUGACGUCUAUACUUUUAUGGAUAAUUUAAAUUUCGUUCGCGUGUAAUACAAUGAAUAUAUUUUUAUUAACCAGACUUUACAAAGACAAAAAUUGAAUUGUCAUACUAUUUCAGUUUGUUACUGCAUCAAGUGCCGCUGUUGUUAAUUUUUCAAACAAAUGAAGCAUGAGAUU